AAGAACUUUGAAAAGAGAGUUAAAAAGUACUUGAAAUUGUUGAGGGGGAAGGGAUUGGAAGUCGCGUGUGCGCCCAGGCUGAUGCCCGCCCUCACCGGCGUGCUGUAUGUGCUGGGUGCUGGUCAGCAUCGGUUGGCGGGCCGGGAGAAAAGCGGCCCUUGAUCGGCUGUCUAUGCCGCCCCGCCGACCGAGGAACCGAGCGUGCGCUCUGCGUGGGUUCGCCCCAACUGCGCGCUCUGGAUGCUGGCGUAAGGCUUCCAAUCUGCCCGUCUUGUAACACGGACCAAGG
rnacentral:rRNA from 1 species